rnacentral:lncRNA from 1 species
GGGCCUCCUGGCAGCCCGCCCGCAGCUCCCUGAGCAUGCUCCACCUAUUUAUAGACAGGGCCCUCCCCCAACUGCUAUUUCAGUCUCCUGCCAGCUGCCGGCGGCGGCUCAUUCGGGAAGGAGGAGCAGGGAGCCGGGCCCAGAGCUGUCACCCAGGGUUGGGAGGGAACACAGAGCCCGCCUGCCCGCUGAGCUCCCCUUCCUGUCCCAAGUGCUCAGCCAUACCCCAGCUCCCAGGAACCAGGGAGAGGCUGGUGGUCGGAUGCCCCUCUAGAGCAGAGCUGGGCCUGCAGCUCUAGGGCCUCCCUGCCCCUCCUGCCGCCAGGAGUGCCCAGGCCGGAUGAGGCACUUCCCUACAGUGUGGGUCCCGUCGGCAGUGGCCUGAGGGAACCUGUGCUGUGCGGGCUGCCCGACCACCUUCCCUUCGGUCUGCUCCCCGCCUCUGGCGGCCCCCUCCCUGGCAUGCUGCUGGUGCCCAAGGCUCAGGGGCUCGUGGAGAUGCUGCAGACCAUCUAUGAGACAGAAUCCUGUUUCUCAGCAGAUGGGAUGUCAGGUCGGGAACCAUCCUUGGAAAUCCUGCCGCGGACUUCUCUGCACAGCAUCCCUGUGACAGUGGAGGUGAAGCCGGUGCUGCCAAGAGCCAUGCCCAGUUCCAUGGGGGGUGGGG